UUCAGAUCACCCAGGUCUAGAUAAUGUGGUACAGAUUGAGAAAUUUCAAGAAAAGGCUUACAUGGAGUUCCAAGACUACGUAACAAAAGCAUAUCCGGAUGAUACUUACAGACUGUCUAGACUUCUCCUCCGAUUGCCUGCUCUUAGGCUUAUGAGUGCUGCCAUCACUGAAGAGCUAUUCUUUGCAGGACUGAUUGGAAAUGUUCAGAUUGAUAGCAUCAUCCCCUAUAUCCUGCGAAUGGAGACAGCGGACUACAACUCUCAGAUAAUUGGUCAUGUUGUAUAAAAGUACCAGUCAAGGAUUCUCUACCAUGGCAGUCAUGGUGAUGUAAAUGCAUACCCUGUCUCCAAGAGAUGGCAAUAAGCCUUCCCAUGCACCUUUCCAAAGAAGGCUAAUAUUCCUCCUUUCCAGUACACUUGGGAAACGUGGCAGAGUGUAUUAAGGAAUAUAGGUUUGCUUCCUAUGUUUCGCCUGAUCUUCAAGGACUUGUAAAUUAACUUGGUAUCUGAAGAAAGUCGAGAGUUGUCCAUCCUAUUUUUGUAGAUAGAUGAACUUGGAAUAUUUGUUUAUGAAGUCCAGGCUUGUGAAGAAACUGAAGAAGCUUUGACUGAACUAAGGUAUCUCAACUUAGUUUGAUGUUUUAGAAAAAUAAAUUAACUUUCCUCUC